rnacentral:rRNA from 1 species
AUUGCCUACGGGGCGCAGCAGUGGGGAAUAUUGGGCAAUGGGCGCAAGCCUGACCCAGCAACGCCGCGUGAAGGAAGAAGGCUUUCGGGUUGUAAACUUCUUUUGUCAGGGACGAAGCAAGUGACGGUACCUGACGAAUAAGCCACGGCUAACUACGUGCCAGCAGCCGCGGUAAUACGUAGGUGGCAAGCGUUAUCCGGAUUUAUUGGGUGUAAAGGGCGUGUAGGCGGGGAUGCAAGUCAGAUGUGAAAAUUAUGGGCUCAACCCAUAGCCUGCAUUUGAAACUGUAUUUCUUGAGGGCUGGG